GAGCGACUCGAUAGGGGAAUUAAAUGUUCACAAGUUGGUAGGCAUCAAGAUCGAGUCACCAAGUGCAUAAAUCUAUUCUAGACUCGUUUCGAGAAAAACGGGAGGCGGCUCAAAAAUGAUCUAUCAUGCAUCCUAUUCACCCUCAAGUAGCAAUACUACGCUAAACAUGCAUCCAAUUCAUCCAUAAUUUUAAGUUUAAGAGGGAAUUUCAAAUGUUGAAAGACAAGGAUUCAAUCAAGCAAUCAACUGAAAUACUAGCAUCCUAAUUCAUUCCCUAAACCACAACAUU
rnacentral:lncRNA from 1 species